UGAGUCACAGAAAAAUAAUCUAUUGCAGAGCCUGUGGAUGUGCUGGAGGAAUCAGCAGAUACUCCCUCUGUCCUCCAGGUCAUUGAGCCAAUCCUGCAGCUGCUGCCCACCGAACCACACGAAGAACCUUCAGCUGUCAUUCUGCCGCUCGAUGCUGAUGAGCCGGACAGUGCCUGCCGUGAUGUUCAGUGUGUGUCUGUAGUCUCCUCCCUCUCCCAGUGGACAUUAGCAUCAUUGGAAUGAUGAGGGGUCCAGAGAGUCGGCUCUGCUGGUUUGAAAGCGCAGAGACACACUGCUUGACUCGCGAGGUAAUCACAGUCUUUAUUACUCUGAUGAAGAGAAUGGACAUUUUUGAACUGACAUGAUUUUUAGAAGAGCACUUUUGUGAAAUGUGGUUGUAGAUCUUGAGUUUCAUCUAAUUGUCUU